rnacentral:miRNA from 1 species
CACCUCAUCAACCGGAAGGGAUUCCUUCCGGUUGAUGAGGUUCAAUCGCAAGGAAUCCCUUCCGGUCCUCAUCGAUCAGAAGGGAUUCCUUCCGAUCGAUGAGGUGUAACAACCUCAUCAACCAGAGGGGAUUCCUUCCGGUUGAUGAGGUG